rnacentral:rRNA from 1 species
AUUGUUCGCAAUGGGCGCAAGCCUGACGACGCAACGCCGCGUGGAGGAUGAAGAUCUUCGGGUCGUAAACUCCUGUCGAGCGGGACGAACACCUGCCGGGCUAACAUCCAGGCAGGCUGACGGUACCGCUAAAGGAAGCCCCGGCUAACUCCGUGCCAGCAGCCGCGGUAAUACGGGGGGGGCAAGCGUUGUUCGGAAUUACUGGGCGUAAAGGGCUCGUAGGCGGCCAACUAAGUCAGACGUGAAAUCCCCAGGCUCAACCUGGGAACUGCGUCUGAUACUGGAUGGCUUGAAUCCGGGAGAGGGAUGCAGAAUUCCAGGUGUAGCGGUGAAAUGCGUAGAUAUCGGGAGGAACACCAGUGGCGAAGGCGAGUCUCUGGGCUGAUACUGACGCUGAUGCGCGAAAGCUAGGGGAGCAAAC